ncrna:Petromyzon marinus (sea lamprey) microRNA pma-mir-216a precursor
UCUCGGCCCAAUCUCAGCUGGCAACUGUGAGUGCUGUGUUGGGAAUUGCCCACGGGAGUCACUGGGAUUAGGCUGUGA